rnacentral:lncRNA from 1 species
GAAAAUCCGACAAGUUUUGAUUCGGAAAGGUGAUAUCUUUCCAUACUCUUCGUCUUAGUUUGUUUUGAUUGUUUAUGUAAUGCUUUGAUUUGUGCUUGUUGCAUAUUUUUAUUCAUUGCAUUACAUGUUGAUUUUCGUGUGUAAAAUUUAUUUUUAAAAAUUGAUUUGAGGAAGGAUGUUUGGGAAUUUUAAAGUUUUUUUGAGAAAGGAGACGAUUGAAAAUCGUUAUUUUGGGGAGAUUAGAAUUUUUCAAAGUGUUUUUAACCGGAAUUCAUCUUGAAUUAAAUUCAUAUUAAGUAUUGGUUUUACUCCACUUUUUAUUAUUUUGACGAUAAUUUAAUAUAUGAUUUCUUAAUACAUAUAUUCAACAAAAUUUUGAAAUCAAAUUUGAUCUCUUGAUGAUAAAUCUAUUUCGGUUGUGUGAGUUGGAUAUGAUAGAUGAAUAUUCGCUAAUAGAGUAAAAUUUGUCAAAAUAUUUUCAAUUGUGAAAUUGUCUAAUUUAGGGGGAGUUUGAAAUUAUUUAAAGAAAAAAAGAAAAAACGGAAACUCCUAUGUUUAAAAGAUAUGGAAAGAGUUACAUCCAAAAGGAGUGUAAAAACUACUACCACAUAUAGGAAAGAGCUACCACCCCGGUCGUCCGGCAAGUGUGUGAAGUUACCACAUGAAGAUUGAAUUUAAUAACCGAAAAGGUUGAAAAAAAAUUGAAUAUUUUAGAAUUUUCUGAGUUAUAAUGUGUUAGUUUGAAAAAGAAGCUCAUAGAGCCACCCCCGGUAUCAUAUUAGUUAAAUCUCUAUUUUGAACAGAUUGCGACAAAUUGGUGUCGAUUUUGCCGAAUUUCUAAAAAUCAUUUUUCGUGAACCGUUACAUCUUGAUGAUUUUGAAAUUCGAGGUCAUUUUUUAUAACAAAAUUGUGAUGUUUCGAUGUAUUUUGAAAUCUUAUAAUAUUUUACCUUCAUUAUAAUGAUUUUUGGAGUAAAGUUCUUAAUUCGUAUGAAAUUAAUUUAAGUUUAAAAGAUUUUUAAAAUUCAAAAUUUUCGAAAUUCGAUAAAGUGUAUUGGUAGCCACAGUUUUAAAACCGGUUACAGGUUUUCGAUCUUUCUCCAAACGUUAUCAAAACUUCUCCUAUCUCUUUCUUAAAACCUGUUACAGGGCACGUUCUCGACGAUAAAAAU